rnacentral:snRNA from 1 species
UCAGGGGUCUCGGCCUUUUGGCUAAGAUCAGGUGUAGUAUCUGUCCUUAUCAGUUUAAUAUCUGAUACGUCCUCUAUCCGAGGACAAUAUAUUAAAUGGGUUUUUGGAGCCAAGAGAUGGAAUAGGAGCUUGCUCCGUCCACUCUGCGCAUCGACCUGGUAUUGCCAGUACUUUAACAGAAUGUCUUAAAA